GCCGGGGUAGCUCAGCUGGGAGAGCAACAGACUGAAGCUGGUGAUGUAUUCUGGAGGUCCCGUGUUCAAUCCACGGUCCUGGCA